AGAGAGAUGGAUUGAAGAAUGAAGAAGAAGAAUACUCAAGUCUGCUUUAUCUCAGAGAGAUGGAUUGAAGAGUGCAGAAGAAGAAGACUUAAGCAGACUGCUUAAGCCAGCACACACAUAUAUCUUCAGUGAUCCUAAUGGAAGUUUUAUGAAGACACUCUGAAUUUUGAGUUACUACUGUACGUGGGCUUUCAUCAUCUCCUCCAUGGCAACAUUUGAAGGAUCAUUUGCGGAGAGCUGGUGAUGUCUUCUUUAAUUUGCUGAGGUCACUCGAGACAGCUUCUGAGUCUUCCUCCUUGUCCACUUCAAAUUCUCCCCAUCCAUAAGUUAUGUUGCAGUCUUACACAACGAUGGUCAAAUCCUAUUCUGGAGAUUGAAUUGGCGUUUGUUUCAUGAGUCAAGAGAGACGACCACAAAUCUAUGAUACUGUUAA